AUUGAACGCUGGCGGCAGGCCUAACACAUGCAAGUCGAACGAGUGGCGGACGGGUGAGUAAUGUCUGGGAAACUGCCUGAUGGAGGGGGAUAACUACUGGAAACGGUAGCUAAUACCGCAUACCAUCAGAUGUGCCCAGAUGGGAUUAGCUAGUUGGUGGGGUAAUGGAUCACCGAGGCGACGAUCCCUAGCUGGUCUGAGAGGAUGACAAGCCACACUGGAACUGAGACACGGUCCAGAAUGCUACGGGAGGCAGCAGUGGGGAAUAUUGCAAAAUGGGCGCAAGCCUGAUGCAGCCAGGCCGCGUGUAUGAAGAAGGCCUUCGGGUUGUAAAGCACUUUCAGCGAGGAGGAGUUACCCGCAGAAGAAGCACCGGCUAACGCCGUGCCAGCAGCCGCGGUAAUAC
rnacentral:rRNA from 1 species